AUUGAACGCUGGCGGAAUGCUUUACACAUGCAAGUCGAACGGCAGCACGGACUUCGGUCUGGUGGCGAGUGGCGAACGGGUGAGUAAUGUAUCGGAACGUGCCCAGUCGUGGGGGAUAACGUAGUGAAAAUUACGCUAAUACCGCAUACGAUCUAUGGAUGAAAGCGGGGGAUCGCCAGACCUCGCGCCAUUGGAGCGGCCGAUAUCAGAUUAGGGAGUUGGUGGGGUAAAGGCCCACCAAGCACACGAUCUGUAGCUGGUCUGAGAGGACGACCAGCCACACUGGAACUGAGACACAGUCCAGACUCCUACGGGAGGCAGCAGUGGGGAAUUUUGGACAAUGGGCGAAAGCCUGAUCCAGCCAUUCCGCGUGCAGGAUGAAGGCCCUUAGGUUGUAAACUGCUUUUGUACAGAACGAAAAGGUUUCUACUAAUACUAGGAGCUCAUGACGGUGCUGUAAGAAUAAGCACCGGCUAACUACGUGCCAGCAGCCGCCGCAG
rnacentral:rRNA from 1 species